rnacentral:rRNA from 1 species
UUUAAAGCGAAUAAGGGCGCAUGGUGGAUGCCUAGGAUCUAAGAGGCGAAGAAGGACGUGGUAAGCUGCGAUAAGCUACGGGGAGAUGCAAACGAUCGUUACAUCCGUAGAUUUCCGAAUGGGACAACCCGGCAUACUGAAGGUAUGUCACUCGAAAGAGAGCCAACGCAGGGAACUGAAACAUCUAAGUACCUGCAGGAAAAGAAAAUAAUUCAAUGAUUCCCCAAGUAGUGGCGAGCGAACAGGGAAGAGCCCAAACCGGGUCGAAGCAAUUCUACCCGGGGUUGUAGGACUACUUUUAGAAAGCUAAAUCAAGUUGAAUCAUCUGGAAAGAUGAGCCAUAGCAGGUGAUAGCCCUGUAGACAGAAAUUUUAGUGGACGUGUAGUAUCCUGAGUAGCGCGGGACCGGAGGAAUCCUGUGUGAAACUGCCAGCACCAUCUGGUAAGGCUAAAUACUCCUUAGAUACCGAUAGUGAACCAGUACCGUAAGGGAAAGGUGAAAAGUACUCCGAACAGGAGAGUGAAAUAGUUCCUGAAACCGUGCGCUUACAAGCGGUCGGAGUCUCUACUUAGUAGAGAUGACGGCGUGCCUUUUGCAUAAUGAGCCUACGAGUUACUCCUCACUGGCGAGGUUAAGGUCUUCAGUACCGGAGCCGUAGCGAAAGCAAGUUCUAACAGAGCGU